rnacentral:lncRNA from 1 species
CAGAUUUCCACAUUCGUUCAAGACAAAGCCGGUUGAAAUCACACAGAAACACCACCUUCUGUUCGGAAAAAGAGAGAAGAGAUCGGCGAUGUCGAAGCCCGACCAUGAGUCCCUGAGCUACGAGGAGGCGAAGCGCAAUAAGAGGAUGAAGUGGACGAUCGGCAUCACUGCCUUCGUCAUCUUUCAGGUCGUCGUGGCCGUCUUCUUCGUCCUAGUCAUCAUGAAGUUCAAGUCCCCCAAGUUCAGGGUCGCUGAGUUCGACGUCCAGACCUUGAACGUCGGGACUCAGGCGUCGCCCUCGUUCGACAUGAGCUUCGUUGCUCCCAUCCGGAUCAAGAAUACCAACUGGGGCCCCUUCAAGUACGAUGCGACUACGGUUAGCUUCAUUUACGGAGGCGUUCAGGUAGGGCAAGCAACGAUUCCAAAGAGCAAGGCCAACUUCAAGUCCACCAAGAAGAUCGAUGUGAACGUGACCUUGAGCUCCACUAGCAGUUUGAAUCUAGGGAGCUCGGAACUCAUAACAUUGAACAGCCAAGGCGAGCUCAAAGGGAAGGUAACAGUUAUGUUCAUGUUCAAGAAGACGAAGGUGUCCCAGAUGAAUUGUACUAUGGUUAUCAAUACGACAACAAAGGCAGUCCAGUCCCUGUCAUGUAAAUAAGAGAUGCGAUGCGAGUGUGUGAUUUUUUAAAUUUUUUGAUAUGCCGGAUUGAGUUAUUCAUUUGAAUUUUGUAUUAGUAGAAAUGUUCAAUUUUUUUAGAUUAAUUUAUACGAUGUUUACUCUGUGAGUAUUAUUCUUCGUUUAAUCGAAGUCAUUUUCGAAAUUGAUCUUACUAUAUGAAGUGGAUGAGCAAACCCUAUCUCAUCCUCUAGUGGGGCCAUCAAACAAGUGGAUCGGUUCAGAAAUGAUCUCUUAACCCAUUUUUAUCCGGCUUGACCCACACCCAAUCCAUAAUCAACCCAACCAGGGCUUAAAUUCUUAGUAAUUUUUCUCCUUCAAUCGUUGCCUUUCUAAAAUGGAUGACUCUAUGGAUUGGCUCACCCAUUCGGUGAGAGAGCUUGGGUUAGGUUGUGGGUAGGACUUUGAAUGGCAACUGAGAGCGCGUAUGAUAGCUAUUAUAUUUCUGUUCUAGAACAAUUUUUCCAUUCCAAAUUUUUUCUGGAAUAGAAAUCUAUUUGAUAACUUAAUUUCAUAUUUUUUAAUUUCUAGAACAAAUUUUUACUCCAGAAAUAUGUUUGGAAUAAUUUUUUGUAUAUUUCAAUCUACUUAAUGGAGAGUGUAUGGGCCUAUUUAUAGGCUUUACAUGAUAACUAUCCAAAGUAACAAAAUAUUAUAAUUUCAAUUACCAUCAAUAAGGAAGAUACCUAAAAUCUCAUUAAUAUCUUAAAUAUCACUAUUAUUCCCUCAUACUUAAGGUGACGUAUAAAACAUCAACUAGAGUUUGGAGACAAGAUCUUGAAAAUGCUCAAGUGAAUGUGGUUUUGCAAUGAAAUAGCAAUUUAGUCAACAGAGUUGAGACAAGUCAUACAAAAACACGAAGCACGUGAAAUAGUAGAAAAUGACUAUUUUAUUUCAAUAUGCUUGAUGUGCUCAUAGAAGACAUCAUUACGAGCUAUUUAAAUAGCACUUCGGUUGUUACUAUAAAUUACCGUUCCACCAUUAUGACCGGCUCUUAUGCCUUUUAAUAAUUAUUGCUAACAUAGUUUUAUGAUGUUGUAUUAGCAAGAGUAAGAUAUUCAAUUUCGGUGCUAGAUCAAGUGGUAGUAAUUUAUUUUAUGCCACGCCAUGAGAUAUGUGAGUUACCUUAAAAGAAGCAAUAGUCUAUAGUGAAGCAACAAUCAAGUGGGUUGCUACCCCAACCAGCAUCUGAAUAAGCCCUCAACUCUAAAGAUUGGUAAAGAGCCAAUAGAAGGAGAGGAUUUGAAAGGACGAAGAGAUGAGAAAAUCUCGUGUUCCUAAAAUAUAACAUGACGAGACACUUGAAGAUAAUUAGAGGCAAAAUCCAAACAUUUGUACCGUUUGUACACAAUGUCAUACCCAAAGAAGCAACAUGAAUGGGCACGGUGUUUUGAUUUCGUGCAUUCAUUUGCACGAAGAUGGACAAAACAAGCACUAUCAAAAAUUGAAGAAUAUUGUAAUUAAGAAUAUUGCCAUACAAGCGCUCAAAAGGAGAGAUGUUGUCAAUAGUAGGUGAUAGAAUAAGAUUAAUAGUCUAUACAGGAAUAUGAGAAGCCUUUCCCCAAAACAAUUAGGUUGAGAUUGGAAGAGUGCGUGCAAUGUCUAAGAUGCAGUUAUAUUUAUGCUCUGCUCGAUCUUUUUUUUUGGGGGGGGGGGGAAUUCUUGGACAAGUUAAUGCAGUAGAUGGAGCCCACACGAGUUAGGACUUUCGCGUGCAAAUAAGGGACGAUAUGAUAGAUGUUUGACCUACAGUAGCGGUAGGCAAUGCGUCCUUUUUUCCAUAGUAGGGACUUGCAUUGUUACAUAGGCUCUUAUGAAAUAUUAUUUGCUUUAUGUGAAGGGUAUACUUAAACAUAAUGGAAAAUGACUUGCUUAUUUUAAAAACCUUAUCAUAUUCUUUGGCAUUCGAUCAAUUUAUGUUUUUGAUUCUAUUACCAUUGCUAGUAAAAAAGUCAUAAACCUUUUGUAUUUAUAUUAAUUUAGUCAUAAGCAUUUUCACUUGGUAUCAAUUUACUCAUUUCCGGCAAAUUUUGGCCUGAUUUUGCUGAUUGGACAUCAAUCGACUGAUGUGGCAUAAUCAGCGCUGAUGUGGAAAUUUUUUAAUAAUAUUUUAAUAUUUUUAUUUGUCUUUUCCUGUCCUUUUUCUUUUUCCUUUUUUUUCCUUCUCCUCUUCCUUCCUCUAGCCGAUUGCUAGACCUUAGUGACUAGCUAGAGGCGAUGGUAGGCGAGCCUCACAAGCCACUGGCGAGACUCGAGCCCUCGCUAGUGGCCAAGUGGGUGGCCUCGCACUAGGCGGCCGUGAAGGCGAGCCUAGCUACCCAGCAUGAGGCCGCCCUCAUGGCCACUGCAAGCCUCGCCAAUGGCCGGCGAGAUCGACCUCAACCUCAUUGGCUAUCGCCUCUGGCUGGUCGUUGAGGUUCGGAGACUAGCUGGAAGGAGGAGGAGAAGAAAAAAUAAAAAUAAAUAAAAAGAAAAGGAAAAAGAAAAAAAAUUAAAAUAUUAUUAAAAGUUGUCCACGUCAAUGUUGAUCGUGCCACAUCAGCCAACCGAUGUCUAGUCAACAAAAUUCGGUCAAAAUUAGCCGAAAAUGAUUGAAUUGGCACAAAGUGAAAAUGUUUAUAACUAAAUUGGCACAAAAAAAAUGGUUUAGGAUUGAAUUGGCGUAAAUGGAAAAGGUUUUAGACUUUUUUAACACUUUUCCCUCUAACCUACACUAGCGGUAGGCAACGCAUGCUUUUUUCCAUAUUAGGGACUUGCAUUGCUACAUAGGCUCCAAUGAAAUUUUAACUUGAUUUAUGUAAAGGACGUGCUUAAACAUAAUGGGAAAUGAAUUGCUUAUUUAAAAACCUUAACAUAUUCUUUGAUGGGGGUGAGCAUGGUUCGGGUUGGUUCAGGCCACCCCCUAACCCCAGGACCAACCCGUACAGUGUCGGUCCUCAAUUUUUAGGACCGAGGACUGACCCUAUUGAGCCUGGGACCAAGGACCGGACUGACCCAAUGGGUUCGGUCCAGUUCCAGGGUCAACCCGGGACCGAUCGAUAAUUUUUUUCGUCUUAUUUUUUAUACUCCCUAAAAAAGCAAACCUACAAGUUCAAAUUACACAUCCAUCAAUAAUGUGGCAUUGUGCAACUAAACUAUAAAUACCAAUACAUAUUUAGCAAAUUUAAGAUGACACGAUAAAAGAAAUUUCGUACCUACUAACCGCUCAUCAAGAUAUGGGACAAGAUGGAAAGUUCUUGUAAUAAUCUAUCUUUAAUAUUCAUAACAUCAUGUGUAAAAGCGUUUUCUUGCAUUCGAUCAUGUAGAGUCCACUUAAUCAAAAAAUGAGCUUCAAACCACUUGACUGGCAAAUCACCGUAGCAACUAUAAUAAUACUCUACUCUUUAAAAACUUUUACCAUUUGACACAAAUUGAAAAGCAAAGUGCAGCUGAAAUUCAUUAGUAGAAUACAAUUAAACCAUAAAAAGUUCAAAAUGCUUAAUAUAAACCAUGAAUAUAUAACUUCACAUCUUGUUAAUUCACUUGAACUUCUAAACACUUGAAAACAAAACAAACGACACAUAAUCAAUACUCAACAAAAGUUUUAAAUUGAAAUUACUGUUAGUGCUAUUGGUAGAACAUCUCAAUAUAAUAUAUUAUAACAGACAUUUACUUAGGUUUGAAUAUAUAAAAGAAUUAUAAAUAAUAUAAUAUAAUAUACAGGGUUGGUCUAGGGUUGAACCGACCCAAAACUCUUAGGACCGAGGACCAACCCGUAUAGUGUCGGUCCUAGAAUUUUAGGACUAAGGACCGACCCAGUCUCCUUGGGAACCGGACCAGGAUCGGUAGGGUUGGGCCGGUCCAGGGUCAGUCCAAGGUCGACCCUAGACUGCUGCUCACCCCUAUUCUUUGACACUUGAUCAUUUUAUGUUUUCAAUUCCAUUGCCAUUACUAGUAAAAUUACAAUCCGCAACUCUGCUAGUAAACGUUUAUCUACCGAGUUAAAUCACGUAGGUGAUUAAGUAAAUAAGAGACACAAAUGAGUCGCAAUCAAUAUGGAUUUGGAUGUGAUUGUCAUCAAUGCUAGCUCUGUGCCAUGCCCAUGACCGUUUCCCUAGCCACGUCAUCGAUCUUUAGGUCAAGGCUAUUCGGUUAUUUGACAAUAUAUAGAAAAUUAUCAAUUCAGUUCUCAACCUAUUACUCAGAUGUCAAUUCAACCCUAAAUUUUUUAAUUUUUCCAAUAUAGUAAUUUUAUGCAAAAUUUCAACAGUCUUUCCAACAAACUGUUGUGGCAUAUGGCUAAUGUGGUGAUUCAUAAGUUGUCCACGUUAGUGUGUCACGUAGGACGGCCGACAACAACAAUGAUGUCACUUUAGCAAUUUCUAAUGGAAGUUGGAUAGAAGAACUGUAUUGGGAUUUCACACAAAGAUUGAAGGCUAUAUUCAUGAAUUCGAAAAAAACUAGACUGAAUUUAGAUUCGAAAAAUAGGUUUAUGACCGAUUAGGUAAUUGUUUCAGCACUGAUUAGGUAAUUGUUUCAGCAAUAUAUAUAUAUAUAUAUGAAGUGGCUACCCAAAUCUAACGUCAUCGUCUAGUAUGUCAUCAGUAGCCUUUAAUUACAUUAAGAGACCAUGCAAGAUCUUCAUUGUGCCAAUUCACCAGAUAAAAACAUAGCCUUGUGACUGCAAAAUAGAAGAAUCCGAAACUUCUUAUUUAACAACUAUAUUAGUUGAUUAAUGAUGUGUUUAUUUCGUGAAAAAUAAAUGAUUUGUAAAAUAUUUUUUUUGAAAUGUCACUUAUAUCAUUUUAGAAAAUGAGCAAAAAAUAUUUUUAUUGUUCACGAAAAUGUUUAGACAUAAAUUGUUAUUGGUAAUAAUCGACUAAUUAUUUCAACAUAAAAAUGCUAUCUGAAUCAUUCGAUACUUUUGUUUCAUGAAAAAACUCAAAAUUUGGAAAAUAUUUUCCAAAAAUAUAGGUUAGCUUAAAAAAGUUAUUCAACAAAAAACUGUUUUCAUCAUCAACAACAAUUUAUGAAUAACUAUUAUCGUGGUAAUUCAUUUAUUUUUCUAAGCGGUAUAAGCAAUUUUUUGGAAAAUAUUUUCCAAAUUUUGAGUUUUCUCUGCACCCUAACUUAUGCAAAUAAUAUGUAACAACGUUCACGCGGACAUGGCCAACAUUGGCGAACCUCGACUGCGUAUUAGUCAACCCAAGAUUAACGAAAUUUGUCUUCUCAAUAAUCAUUAAAAAGACACAGUUAACUGUUCCAUUUCCCAAGUUGACCAAACCCUUGCGUCCCCAAAGUCAAAAAACUCGAGCUUCUCGAUUGUAGAUCGAGAGUUGGCUGAAGACCCCACAAUAAUCUAAGCUUCUAUAUAUAUGUAUUAUUAUAUUCCAUUUCAGAUUAGAGAAAAGCGCGUUCGUCUAGAAAGUAAGAAAAUCGACAUCGAUGACUUUUGGCGUGUGGACUCGAACGACGUCUUCUAGCCUUCUAGGAAGGAGGGUUCGGCAGGCACGGAAGUCUAUAUAAACGCCCACCUCGCCCACCUCCUCAAUUCAUUCCCUCACAGCUUCUCCAGAUCUCCACGUUCGUUCAAGACAAAGCCCGUGGAAAUCACACAGAAACACCGCCUUCUGUUCGGAAAAAGAGAGAAGAGAUCGGCGAUGUCAAAGCCCGACCAUGAGUCCCUGAGCCACGAGGAGGCGAAGCGCAAUAAGAGGAUGAAGUGGACGAUCGGCAUCACUGCCUUCGUCAUCUUUCAGGUCGUCGUGGCCGUCUUCUUCGUCCUAGUCAUCAUGAAGUUCAAGUCCCCCAAGUUCAGGGUCGGCGAGUUCGACGUCCAGACCUUGAACGUCGGGACUCAGGCGUCGCCCUCGUUCGACAUGAGCUUCGUUGCUCCCAUCCGGAUCAAGAAUACCAACUGGGGUCCCUUCAAGUACGAUGCGACUACGGUGAGCUUCAUUUACGGAGGCGUUCAGGUAGGGCAAGCAACGAUUCCAAAGAGCAAGGCCAACUUCAAGUCCACCAAGAAGAUCGAUGUGAACGUGACCUUGAGCUCCACUAGCAGUUCGAAUCUAGGGAGCUCGGAACUCAUAACGUUGAACAGCCAAGGCGAGCUCAAAGGGAAGGUGACAGUUAUGUUCAUGUUCAAGAAGACGAAGGUGUCCCAGAUGAAUUGCACUAUGGCUGUCAAUACGACAACGAAGGCAAUCCAGUCCUUGUCAUGUAAAUAAGAGAUGCGAUGCGAGCAUGUGAUUUUUUAAAUUUUUUGAUAUGCCGGAUUGAGUUAUUCAUUUGAAUUUUGUAUUAGUAGAAAUGUUCAAUUUUUUUAGAUUAAUUUAUAUGAUGUUUACUAUGUGAGUAUUAUUCUUCAUUUAUUUGAAGUCAUUUUCGAAAUCGAUCUUACUACAUGAAGUGGAUGAGCAAACCCUAUCUCAUUCUCUAGUGGGGCCAUCAAACAAAUGGGUCAAUUCAGAAAUGAAAUCUUGACCCAUUUUUAUCUGGCUUGACCCGCACCCAAUCCAUAGUCAGACUGAACUAGGGCUAAAAUUCUUAGUA